rnacentral:lncRNA from 1 species
CAAAUUGCUUUUUAAGUUAAGAGAGCAAGAAAGAGAGAGAAAGAGUCAGAAAGAAAGAAAGAGAGCGACAAUGUGAGGCAGAGAGGAGCGGGGACAAAAGGGCAGCUGCAGAAACAUUUGGCUGUGCCGAAGGGUAGUGGGCUCAACAUGUUAAGUGUGGGACCAGCUUGGGCCUGAAGUUCGCGGGGAGCUGCGUGCCAGGCUGCUGCACAUGGCCACAGCAGGCCCAGCCGUUACGCCGAGGAGAAUCACUCUGUACUAUUGCUCUGCAAACAGCUGUUCACCGCACAGCUGCCCAGGCAAUCCAUCUCCAAGGAGGCCCCACACCUGCCGACCGCGAACGUGUGACUCAGCAGGACCCACACACUCCUCACACACUGCUGGAGCAGGAGAGCAAAGCUCAACGUGCCACAGAUGCACAGCACAGCCGUGCCAAGCCCCAGCUCACGGAUACAAAUGUACAGAAAUAUCGCUCAGCCAGGCUAACAUGGGACCAGUAUCCUGUACAGCUUCAGAAUUCAACCACGUUUUUCUUCAUUACGCCGGUUCCUUAACCCCUUCACUUCCCAGAAUUAUUACUUCCUGUUACAGGCUGUUAUUCAGAAAUGAAUGGAAGGAGGUUGGAAUAGAAACCUUGAACCCUGGUGAUUUUAGGAGUUGACGCAAGAGCUGAGUUUAUUAAAAUAAUUUAAUUUCCUUGAGAAAUUUUGAGUAAUGUAUUGUAAAAAUGUUUGGGCAACAUAUUUGGUUCUGCAUUUUCCAAAUGUUUUUUUGCUGACUAUGUAGACCUGCUCAAAGUAAUUUUUCUCAACCAACUUGAUAUUGUAAUGUAGGGUUUCAUGUAGAGUCUGAGAUUUCUGUUUUCUGUCACUGUAAGAACCCCACUAGAAGACGGUUUCUAAACAAGCACAAAGCAAUCAUUCUGCACUAAUUUGGGGAAUUUAAUUAUCAGAAUAAAGAAAAACAUGAUGUGACUUUCA